UGAAUCUUUUGAAACUUUCUUUUUUCUUUCACAGAAAUGGGAUGCAUAAAACCCAUUUAGUCCUUUGGGGCAGAAAAUAACACUAAAAAAAGUAACACAGGGUGAUUUAUCCUUCUCUAUCAUUAAUGAACUCAGUUUUUCCGCUUUGUGUUUGCAAGUACCUGUGUGACAGCUGAACACUUGCUUAACAUAACAGGGACUGAGCCAAGAACCUCAACAGAUAAGAAUACUAAAUGCAGUAGCUUGACAUGAAAAAUAGAACAAAACACACACACACACAAAAACAAAACAAAAACCAACCCAAACAAACAGCCCUCUGUAGCUGAUAGCUACAGUUCAUAGAAUCAUAAAACGGCUCACAUUAGAAGAGGCCAUAAAGAUCAUCUAGGUUCAAGCCUGCUGCUGAACCACUGGAAACUCUUCUCUUUACAAGCAGUUUAGACUGCUGAACACUUUGGAAGCAGAUCAAAGUUGACACCUGCCAAGAGAAGCAAGAACUGUGUAACUCCUUGUAUGAAAAGAGUUUAAAGGAUCUCAGCAUCAGACACUACAGAUUUUCACACCCUGGGAUACUCUACAACUUCAAUGAAAAUUCUUCUGCUGGAAGGGGAGCACUCCAUCUACACCAUAUUCAACAAGUGGACAGAGGAAUGUCUCAUUUCAUUGGUGCUCAGCAGAUGCUGUGGAAAAAAAGCUCAAAUAUUUCCUCAAGAUCUUAUUAGCCUUUAUUUAUGACAGAUUCUCUCAUGCUAAAACAUAAAAGUAACUUGUCAGCUUUUUCAUAUUGUAGGCCAAGCUCUUUCAGUUCUCUAGCCAUUAGUACUUCCAUUAGCACUUUUUGACAAACUUACUGUGUAAUUGUGGAUACUGCUGAUCACAUCAAAUCUUUAGAAUAUGUAGCCACAUAACUAUUUACUCCCCCAAUCACUGAAUUUCACAUCAUUCUCCUGCUGUCAAUUUGUUCUUUAGAAAACUAGGCUUUUAUUUAUUUAUUUAGCAAUUUGUGUGUGCUUAAGACAGCCUGACUCAAUUGCCACUCAUAGUUUAGGGAUAAUUACACGUUAGAUACUAUAAAUGGAAACAAAGCAUGUAUUUCCCUGAGAAUACAGAAGAAGAGGAAAAAAAUAAAGAGCAGGCUGUAGAAACACUUUAAACCUCUUGUCUUUCCAUACCAGCUGACACUAGCACUCUCUUUGAAAUCAGUUUUAGAGUGAAAUCACACAGUGAUGCUGUUUCUGGGAUUUUAAUAUUUUCAUGUCUAAGACAAGACUGGAUUAUCCUCCCUAGGGCACUUUUUAACAGGCAGUUAGGUCCUUGCCAGCACCAACAGUAUUUUGGACCCCUACUGAUGAUAAAGUAAAAGAACUGCCUUCUGUCUUACAGAGAAUAACUGCUCCUUGUGACUCUCACUGCCUUACUCUUCUUGAAUGCAGCUGUCUUUUUUUUAUCACAGUUCAAGAAAAUUUACAAGGGUGCUUUAGUAAGAGAAAACUGAAAAGGCUGCUUAUUCUCCAAGCUUACUAUGUUGGCUUUUUUCUGAGGAGCACUCAUUGUUCAGUAAUGAUAUUCCCUGCUGAAUUCACAAAUUGAAUCUGGGGGAGAGCGAGGAUGUUUUGAAGGUUAAAUUAAAUGACACGUUCUAUCAGUGUGGCCCAUAAGGAUGAUAAUGUGUUAUUUAUCUAUGAGUUUUGAUGUGACCAGGUUUACACAACAUAGAAUGUAAUCUCUGGAAUAUCUGCAAGAUUUGUCUGAUGUUUUUGGAGCCUAAAAAGCCAUGGAAAGCCUGUGGCUUUCUAUUGGUCAAGUAGCAUAACAUAAAAUUGUUAUAUACCUCUAAUGUGGACACGAUGGGUCAUAAACACCUCUCACUACCCAGGAUGAACCAAGAAACCAUUCUUUAUUUGAUAUCACAUCUCUACCAAUGUCUGAUAAAGAAAGCUGAAUUUAUUUACAGCUGUGUGUCCACUGCUGGUGGCAGAAUUACUGAAGUUAUCCUACACGGGUGUCUGGAGACAUGACCAUAUUAUUUUACAGUGAAGGGACAAAGAUGACAGAAAGAACAGGAAAUGAGAAAACGCGAACUAUGUGUUAUUGUGCACUACUGUAUUUUUUGUAAGCUCACACCAGCAUCAUUGUCCAAGGUUGCCAGUGCUUUGACAGCAUCGUGAGUGCCCCAUCACAACAAUUAUAACAUUCAUCACUUAGAGGAACAGUGAAGUAGCAUUUUUACUCCAUCAUUCUUAGCAAAUCUGCCCAAUGAUAGCACAAAACAUAUGCUGCACUUUUCUCACUUCCAGCUUGCCUCCUCAGAGCACCAAAGUACAAUUCAGUUUGUCUCUCGAUAGAAGAAGUGGUAGAAAAUGAAAGCUUGUUGACUUGAACCCACUGAAGACCAUUCCAAGUUCAAAUGAAGCAGUAAUCCAAUGUUUUGGGUGGGCUUUAGAGAAGAAGAGAGAUGUGGGAGAAAAUGAAAGCAGACAUUAAAGCAGCGUAUAUAGUAUUUUGCAAAUGAAAGUCCAAAUUUUCAGACCUAGCUAAGCAUUACAUAAAUGACUGUAGAAAAUGUUUCAAAUUAAUGUAGCAAGUUUGCUACAGUAUUAUUUAUGAGCUGUAAUUACUUUAAUUUCUGUGUAACACUGAAUUAUUGCUGCCAUUUUUGGUUAAGACCUAACAGCUUCUUUAACCUUCUAAUAAUUGAAAGCCUGCAGUUCAUUUAUUGCUUUCUUCUGAAAACAGAACUAUAAAAUAUUUUAAAUUACUGUGGGAAAAAAAAAAUCAUUUUCUGGAACUAAUUUGAAAUUUUGUCUAUAUGUUGCCAGGUUCUUGAAUUCAGUGUUUGUAACACGAACUGACAGUUGAACUCUGAGGAUAAAGAAACUAUUAAAGCACCCUUGGAGCAGAGGAUGGAUUUUAUCUCCUUUCUUAUUUUAUCCUCCUGAGAAUUCAAUCUACUGAUACCUAACCAUCACGUUCUAUCAGUAUCUGAUAUGCACCUCAUGAGAUCUGAUGGCAGUCAAAGACUCCUGAAUAGAAAAUUUAUUCAAAAUUCCACUGUUUGGCCACUAGAUGACUCUCUGAUCUAUUUAAAUUUAGCAGGAAGAGUGGUAGACACUGGGAAGACAAAAAAUUGAUAAAUUAUUGUUGAAAUUAGUAGUUCGGAAAGAGAACUACUAGAAAGAGAAUCUGGAAUCAAGAUAAAAUUCAAGCUCAAAUAUUUUAAUAACCUAAAAUCUUAUUUUUUUCCACCUCAAGUCCACCAGAACUUAAGGAGAAAGACAAACUCAUGCACACAAGGACAAAAAAGUAAUUUUGACAAAUCUAAUAGACAAAUCUGCAACUCCAGUGUUAUCACUAUAUUUGUAAUAGGUAACAGUAGGAAAUAGUGUCUGAUGAUCAUUCUACUGAUGUUCUGUUGAUUCUAAAAGCUUCAGACAUUUAAUUCUUUCUUUCAGAAAUUUUGGUCUCUUCCUGGGUAGUGGUAUUAUUAUUUCUUUACUUCUAUCACAAAUGCUUAAGGAAGUUGCAGUAGCAUAAAAGUUACUGUUACUCUCAUCUCACAGAUGAGCAAGUGUAAGGUUUCUAAAAAAAGGACUUGAAUGCAUAUGUGUGAGAAAUAAAAUUCAGAUCUAACUUGGCAUUCCACAACUAAGUGAUGUAUUGAUAAAGAUUAUUCGGGAUCAUGAAUUGUAAGACUGACUACUGACAUUUGCAGUAUUUUAGUGCUUGAAAAACCUACUAAACUGACCAAUUAGAUUCCCUCUAUAAAGAGAAUUACAGGGAAUCCCAAGAUGCAUUCUGCAUUGGUGUUUUCUGCUGAAUUGAAGAACAGAUGGUAUGGCUGCCAAUUGGUGUUCAGAAUCAUAAGAACAUUAGGCGAUUAUUCUGUGUUAAAGUGGAUAGCAGUAAGCAACUCAACAAAUUGAGUUUUGAUAGAAUUUCUUAUUUCUUUAUGAAAAAUCCAGGAUCUAGCACUCAUGUAUAUAUAUAUAUAUAUAUAAAAUUUACAUGUUUAUUUAUAUUUAUUAUUUAUUAUAUUUAUAUUGAUAUUUAUAAUAUCAUUAUAUACAUUUUUUGAAUGCUUACAGUUCUUUCCAAAGUAAAUUACUGUCAUGUGGUAUAAAGAAACCACAUACAUUAAGAUCCAAAUUAUCAAUAGUUGUUGCUUACAUAUAAUGGAGAAAAUGGGACAGUUUUGAAGAUUGUGUGAAUACUUGCUUAGCCUUGUUUUUGAUACCAUGAUCAGAAUCACCGUUAAAUCAAAACUAUUUUUUUCCAUCUGUAAAGAUUAUCAUAUUUUCAGAAGACAUUGUUAAAAAUGAAUUAUUUGGUCAGCAGAAGUUUAGUUUGGCAUCUGAAAGGAGAAAAAAAAAUCUGUUAAAAUGUUCAAAUUCAUAAAUGAAAGUAGAA